UACUAGUCAGGACUGCUUCCUCUCUCAGCCACCGGACUGAGCUGGAGCAUUUUUAAUAGGUUCCAUAAAGAGCCACGCAUCCCACAGUCACCGCUAGAGGGCUCAGCAGAGUUACAGCCCCGAUUUGCCCUCUAGCGGCGAUUCUGAACAGAGUGCGUUUACGGCGACUUAGGGCCUUGGGGACUGGCAGCAUGGCAGUUGGAGCAGACAUCUGGAAGCAUUAGGUUCAACCAGCCAUGAGAGGGUUUUCAUAUAGCGACAGACUGAAGACAUCCUCUUGCCAGAAUGAGACACCCUUUCAGGAAAAGAAAGAUCAUUGCUCACACUUAACAUCUGAGAGGCAUAUCUGUGAUGCAGGGAAGACCCACUCAGAAUGUGAGUGGCACCAUUCUAUUGGCUGGGUUCCAAGACUGAACAAAGCAGGGAAAAGGAGAAAGCCAGCAACCAAGGAUUGAAUUUUGGACAUUAUGCAUGCUGGUCAAAUGCUCUACCAUUGAACUACAUUCCUCUGAAGUUCUUAAGUCAUUUCUAUGGUAUUUAAGUCACAGAAACGCAGAUGUGACUAAUACCCCAUCUCAGAAAAUUAUAAGAGUGUGUAGAGGUGUACAGCAGCAAUUCCUCCAAAUAACAAAUACCAAGGAGAGCAGAAGAGAAGACAUUUAUAACCAGUUGGUAAACGUCAAGGACUACUUCAAGGAACUCCAAGGCAGUGUUUCUCCUGAGGUUCCUAAAGAAGAAGGAAAUCAACCAUUCAUAUUAAGGUCUUGAAAAACUCCCAAAAUGUAGGCGAUAAGGGCCUGUUCUUUCUACCUGUUUUAAGAAGGUUUUGGCUAAUUAGUGUUAAAAACCGUUAAAGAGCUCCCAAUGGACUCUAAACAGGCUUAUCAGUAGGUAGGUGUUGAUGUGGCAGGGGUGGCAGUAGAAUUCUAAAACGGGAUAACUUGUUAGCUCAAUUUUUCUCUCUAAAAAUGUUAACUUUGUCAGUGAUUGCUAGUUAGUGUUAGAGAUGGAGAAAGUGGCUAGAAAGCACAGUUCUGUAGCCAGUGUCUCUUGCUCCUGUGAAAGGAUACUUUUAAAAAGGACAGCUGAGGGGGCUAGAGAGAUGGCUCAGUGGUUAAGAACAUGGAGUGAAAUUCCAUCAAGCACAUGGUGGUUCACAACUAUCUAUAAGGGCAUCUGAUACCCUCUUCUGGCACGUGGGUGUACAAGCAGCAAAACACUUAUACAAGAAAGAGGGAGGGAGAGAGAGAGAGAGAGAGAGAAAGUUUUUUAAAGGACAACUGAAGAGACUACCCAAUUUUUUUUGAAAGGCAGAUGACUCAAGACUAAAAACCCUCUCUACUGAUGAAAGUUAUCUUGUUGUUUUCAGUCUUGUCAGAAAUAUCACAGGAGGUGGGCUUAAAUUUUCUUUCUAUGUUAGAGAUAUACAGUUUCUUUUAAAAUAUUUGGAAAUAAAAAUGGCAAGAUCA
rnacentral:lncRNA from 1 species